rnacentral:rRNA from 1 species
AUUGAACGCUGGCGGCAGGCUUAACACAUGCAAGUCGAACGGUAGCAGGAGAAAGCUUGCUUUCUUGCUGACGAGUGGCGGACGGGUGAGUAAUGCUUGGGAAUCUGGCUUAUGGAGGGGGAUAACGACGGGAAACUGUCGCUAAUACCGCGUAUUAUCGGAAGAUGAAAGUGCGGGACUGAGAGGCCGCAUGCCAUAGGAUGAGCCCAAGUGGGAUUAGGUAGUUGGUGGGGUAAAGGCCUACCAAGCCUGCGAUCUCUAGCUGGUCUGAGAGGAUGACCAGCCACACUGGAACUGGGACACGGUCCAGACUCCUACGGGAGGCAGCAGUGGGGAAUAUUGCGCAAUGGGGGGAACCCUGACGCAGCCAUGCCGCGUGAAUGAAGAAGGCCUUCGGGUUGUAAAGUUCUUUCGGUAUUGAGGAAGGUUGAUGUGUUAA